rnacentral:rRNA from 1 species
UCCACUGGCUCGUACGGCUAGCCUGCCCACUGAAUUUUUAAAUGGCCGCAGUAUACUAACUGUGCAAAGGUAGCAUAAUCAUUAGUCUUUUAAUUGAAGGCUGGAAUGAAUGGUUGGACGAAAUAUAAGCUGUUUCAAUUAAAUUUAUAAUAGAAUUUUAUUUUUUAGUCAAAAAGCUAAAAUUUAAUUAAAAGACGAGAAGACCCUAUAAAUCUUUAUAUUUAAAUUAUUUUAAUUUUUAAGAUUAAUUUGAUUAUAAUAAUUUUAAAUAUUUUAUUGGGGUGAUAUUAAAAUUUAAUAAACUUUUAAUUAUAAAAAAGUCAUUAAUAUUUGAGUAAUUGAUCCAAUUAUAUUGAUUAGAAAUUUAAGUUACUUUAGGGAUAACAGCGUAAUUUUUUUGGAGAGUUCAUAUCGAUAAAAAAGAUUGCGACCUCGAUGUUGGAUUAAGAGAUAAAUUUGGGCGCAGCCGUUCAAAAGUUUAAGUCUGUUCGACUUUUAAAUUCUUACGUGAUCUGAUUUCAGACCGGA